rnacentral:rRNA from 1 species
CGCAUCUGUGCAUGCAGCAUAUCAAUAAGCGGAGGAAAAGAAACUAACAAGGAUUCCCUUAGUAACGGCGAGUGAAGCGGGAAGAGCUCAAAUUUGAAAUCUUCAAGGUUUUACCUUGACGAAUUGUAGUUUAAAGAAGUGUUUUCUGUUGAAGUUUUGGUAAAAGUUCUUUGGAAUAGGACAUCAUAGAGGGUGAGAAUCCCGUAUUUGACCAUUAUUUUCAGCUGUGUGAUACACUUUCAAAGAGUCGGAUUGUUUGGGAAUGCAGUCCAAAAUGGGUGGUAAAUUUCAUCUAAAGCUAAAUAUUGGCGAGAGACCGAUAGCGAACAAGUACCGUGAGGGAAAGAUGAAAAGAACUUUGAAAAGAGAGUUAAACAGUACGUGAAAUUGUCAAAAGGGAAGCGUUUGACACCAGUGUUGUUUUCUCGAAAAUCAAUUAAAAAGAGUUUGAUUUUGUUGUGUAUUGACCUUAACAGCUUGCAUUUCAAUUUUCUUGCUUUUUUUAAUGCACUUUUCGUUUAACAAGUCAACAUCAGUUUCUUUUGUUGUAAAAAGGUCAUUGGAAGGUGGCUUUCUUCUCGGAGAAAGUGUUUAUAGCCUUUGACUCCUGCAAUCGGAGAGACUGAGGUCUGCAGCGUAGAUCCUUCGGGGUUAGAUACAUUUGUGCUAAGUUAUAGCUUUUUAUAGACAACUUGUUGACUAUGAUUAGUCUUGUAGCUUACUCGCUUAUGCUAUUAUACCUACGCUUAGGAUGUUGACGCGCGUGUGUGCGUG